AUCUCUCUCUCUCUGUCCUAUAUUAAAUGGAUUUUUGGGCCUGGGAGUUGGACCCAGAGCUUGCUCCCUCCACUCCGUGCAUCGUCCCGGUAUUGCAGCGCCUCUGGGCAUGGUGCAUCCCCC
rnacentral:snRNA from 1 species